GUGUGUCCUCUCGGAGGGCCGCCUCAGCCUGGCCUGGAGCUGCAGGGUGGCUGCGAAAGUCAGAUAAAUCACCGUGCAAUACCAGACGUCAGCAGGGAGACUCCUCCACUGAUCCAGUCGUCCGCCGUGAAGAUCAGGACACUUACAUAGGGCAAGGCCACGUUACACUGGUGACGGACACUGACAGCCUAGACCAUUAAACGCUUCAUCAACACACGGAGGAUAUCUGAAGGCGGACGUCAACAACAUGAACAGAGUAAUAGCUCUAAGGAAAGUCAUGGAAACCUUCAGGAGACCUAGGUUAAGAUACCUACCGUAUAUUUCCAAAUAAA